UCAUUCUUGUCGGAGUGCGCCGCCUGUUGUGCGGGGCUGAGACCGCGAAACGUGGAAUCCGUUGAACCUGUCGGGGUCGUGCCUGCGUAGGGAGCAAGUGUCAAACGCCU
rnacentral:ncRNA from 2 species